rnacentral:rRNA from 1 species
AGCAGCCGCGGUAAUUCCAGCUCCAAUAGCGUAUAUUAAAGUUGUUGCAGUUAAAAAGCUCGUAGUUGAAUUUCGGGGUUGGUAGGUUGGUCAUGCCUUUGGUAUGUACUGGUCUCACUGAUUCCUCCUUCCUGAUGAGCCGUAAUGCCAUUAAUUUGGUGUUGCGGGGAAUUUGGACUGUUACUUUGAAAAAAUUAGAGUGUUUAAAGCAAGCUAACGCUUGAAUACAUUAGCAUGGAAUAAUGAAAUAGGACGUUCGAUCCUAUUUUGCUGGUUUCUAGGAUUGACGUAAUGAUUAAUAGGGAUAGUUGGGGGCAUUAGUAUUCAAUUGUCAGAGGUGAAAUUCUUGGAUUUAUUGAAGACUAACUACUGCGAAAGCAUUUGCCAAGGAUGUUUUCAUUAAUCAAGAACGAAAGUUAGGGGAUCGAAGACGAUCAGAUACCGUCGUAGUCUUAACCAUAAACUAUGCCGACUAGGGAUCGGAUGAUGUUAAUUUUUUAAUGACUCAUUCGGCGCCUUACG